rnacentral:rRNA from 1 species
CCUAGCAUGAAGUCAGACAAGUGAACCCCCCGAAUUUAAGCAUAUCAAUAAGCGGAGGA